rnacentral:sRNA from 1 species
GCACCCCAUGGAGCAGCUGCUGCGCGCCGAACUGCGCACCGCGACCCUGCGGGCCUUCGGCGGCCCCGGCGCCGGCUGCAUCAGCGAGGGCCGAGCCUACGACACGGACGCAGGCCCCGUGUUCGUCAAAGUCAACCGCAGGACGCAGGCCCGGCAGAUGUUUGAGGGGGAGGUGGCCAGCCUGGAGGCCCUCCGGAGCACGGGCCUGGUGCGGGUGCCGAGGCCCAUGAAGGUCAUCGACCUGCCGGGAGGUGGGGCCGCCUUUGUGAUGGAGCAUUUGAAGAUGAGGAGCUUGAGCAGUCAAGCAUCAACACUUGGAGAGCAGAUGGCAGAUUUGCAUCUUUACAACCAGAAGCUCAGGGAGAAGUUGAAGGAGGAGGAGAACACAGUGGGUAUGUUCAGAUUGCUUUUGGGUACCCUUGACCCAGCCACAUUGUCUACCCUAGAUUGGUGCUCAUGGUACUUCUUGGUGGCAUUUCAAUAGUAGGUUGAGUUGUAUACCGUCUCUCUUUACACUACAUUAUGAAAAUGAGAUUAUUAAAUAAGAAUUUUGAUGUAGCUGAUAAGCUAGUAGAAUUGGCACAUGAUCCCCUU